CCUACGGGAGGCAGCAGUGGGGAAUUUUGGACAAUGGGCGCAAGCCUGAUCCAGCAAUGCCGCGUGAGUGAAGAAGGCCUUCGGGUUGUAAAGCUCUUUUGUCAGGGAAGAAACGGUCUACUCUAAUACAGUGGGCUAAUGACGGUACCUGAAGAAUAAGCACCGGCUAACUACGUGCCAGCAGCCGCGGUAAUACGUAGGGUGCAAGCGUUAAUCGGAAUUACUGGGCGUAAAGCGUGCGCAGGCGGUUAUAUAAGUCAGAUGUGAAAUCCCCGGGCUCAACCUGGGAACUGCAUUUGAGACUGUAUGGCUAGAGUGUGUCAGAGGGGGGUAGAAUUCCACGUGUAGCAGUGAAAUGCGUAGAUAUGUGGAGGAAUACCGAUGGCGAAGGCAGCCCCCUGGGAUAACACUGACGCUCAUGCACGAAAGCGUGGGAGCAAACAGGAUUAGAUACCCUGGUAGUCCACGCCCUAAACGAUGUCUACUAGUUGUCGGGACUUAAUUGUCUUGGUAACGCAGCUAACGCGUGAAGUAGACCGCCUGGGGANCGGUCGCAAGNUUAAAACGNGAAGAUGACGNNGAGAGNGCGAGACGACGACGAGGGAGAGG
rnacentral:rRNA from 1 species